rnacentral:rRNA from 1 species
GACGGGUGAGUAACACGUGGGUAACCUACCCAUCAGAGGGGGAUAACACUUGGAAACAGGUGCUAAUACCGCAUAACAGUUUAUGCCGCAUGGCAUAAGAGUGAAAGGCGCUUUCGGGUGUCGCUGAUGGAUGGACCCGCGGUGCAUUAGCUAGUUGGUGAGGUAACGGCUCACCAAGGCCACGAUGCAUAGCCGACCUGAGAGGGUGAUCGGCCACACUGGGACUGAGACACGGCCCAGACUCCUACGGGAGGCAGCAGUAGGGAAUCUUCGGCAAUGGACGAAAGUCUGACCGAGCAACGCCGCGUGAGUGAAGAAGGUUUUCGGAUCGUAAAACUCUGUUGUUAGAGAAGAACAAGGACGUUAGUAACUGAACGUCCCCUGACGGUAUCUAACCAGAAAGCCACGGCUAACUACGUGCCAGCAGCCGCGGUAAUACGUAGGUGGCAAGCGUUGUCCGGAUUUAUUGGGCGUAAAGCGAGCGCAGGCGGUUUCUUAAGUCUGAUGUGAAAGCCCCCGGCUCAACCGGGGAGGGUCAUUGGAAACUGGGAGACUUGAGUGCAGAAGAGGAGAGUGGAAUUCCAUGUGUAGCGUGAAAUGCGUAGAUAUAUGGAGGAACACCAGUGGCGAAGGCGGCUCUCUGGUCUGUAACUGACGCUGAGGCUCGAAGCGUGGGGAGCAAACA